rnacentral:lncRNA from 1 species
CCAUCCCCGUCCCUAGUCCCCCGUCCCCAGUCCCCUGUCCCCCGCGGCCCCCUCCCCCUCCCUGCCCCCGCGGAUCCUCGGCUGCUGCCCCGCCGGGUGGCUUACUGGCCUGGGCCGGGCCGGGCUGGGCCGGGAUCUGGCCCGCCUGGGAGGUGGGCACUGGGCGGCGCUCCGCCUCCACUCCCCCGCGGGGACUGCCCGAGGAGGAGCACGGUUGGGCCGGGGCCGCCGGCCGAAGCCCAGCGCCGCAGCACCCGCCGCGACAGCGCAGCGAGCAGCCAAGGAGCACGCCGAAGGGGGCCGGGCCCCGGAGAGCGGCGCGGCGCCCCCGCUUCCCAGCUCCACUCCUUUCUUCCUCUCCUCCUCCUCUCCCCCACCCCUCCUCCUCCUCCUCCUCCUUCCCUAGCCCCGCCGCCCCCUCCUCGGCCCACAGGGCUGCUGCUGGUCUCCGUCCCGGGUGCCCACCCGGUGGAUGGCACUGGGGCUCGCAGCACCUCAAGUUGCCACGUUUUUGGGUGCGCCGGGAGGCUCCCCCCCCCCGGAGGCCUGCCGGCCCCCGCCCUCCUCCCUCCGCCCUCUCCUAGUCCCCGGGACCCCGCCGCUCAAUUGUUUGAAACUUCCCCGCCCCUUGGCCCCUCCUCCUUCCCUCCUCUCCGCCCCCUUUCCUCCCUCCCCUUCGUCCCCUCUCCUCUCUCCCCUUCCCCUCUCCGCCCCCCACCCUCCACCCCACCGAGCGGCCGAUCGGGCCGGACUGGGUCCCUUCUCUCCCCUCCCCCUCCUCCCCCUCCCGCCUCUCCUCCUCCUGCCCCCUGCCGCCCCCUGCCCCACCCCCCUGCCCGGGGGCGGGCCGAGCCGUUCCCCACCAGAAGAAUAAUAGCCAGACACCCAGUGGUCCUCAGUCUCUCCCUACCUUCGGUCUGCCUGGGUGUCCGCCUCUUCGUCCGUCUGUGGCUCGGUCCGCUCCGUCAGUGCCUUUGCUUGGCUACAGCCGCCCUCGGAGCAGGCACACUCCUUCCCUCUCCGAAGGGCUGGGGUAGUCCCUGCAUCUCCGGCCGCUGCAGCCUGCACUGA